rnacentral:rRNA from 1 species
GAUGAACGCUGGCGGCGUGCCUAAUACAUGCAAGUCGAGCGAAUGGAUUAAGAGCUUGCUCUUAUGAAGUUAGCGGCGGACGGGUGAGUAACACGUGAGUAACCUGCCCAUAAGACUGGGAUAACUCCGGGAAACCGGGGCUAAUACCGGAUAACAUUUUGAACCGCAUGGUUCGAAAUUGAAAGGCGGCUUCGUCUGCCACUUAUGGAUGGACCCGGGACGCAUUAGCUAGUCGGUGAGGUAACGGCUCACCAAGGAAACGAUGCGUAGCCGACCUGAGAGGGUGAUCGGCCACACUGGGACUGAGACACGGCCCAGACUCCUACGGGAGGCAGCAGUAGGGAAUCUUCCGCAAUGGACGAAAGUCUGACGGAGCAACGCCGCGUGAGAGAUGAAGGCGUUCGGGUCGUAAAACUCUGUUGUUAGGGAAGAACAAGUGCUAGUUGAAUAAGCUGGCACCUUGACGGUACCUAACCAGAAAGCCACGGCUAACUACGUGCCAGCCGCCGCGGUAA